ACGACCCUUUAAGUCUUUUUCUCUCUUCAGUGUUAUGCAAACCCUAGCCGCGCCUCUCUCCUCUAUGACGUCAUUUUGCAGAAAAUGGCAACCUCGUGGGCCCGCGUGGAUGAUACGGUCUUUGUAGGGCUGAGAAUGGCAAGAACAUUUAUUGCUCUUCCAUUUCUCAACCAAUAUCACCGAGAUUCAGCCCAAACACGGUAUUACCACCCCCCUUUUUCUUCCCUUUUAUGCUUUUACAGCGGUUAUAUGCCUGAAAAUCUUUAAUUGUUUUUGUUGUAUUGUGAUUUUGAAUCCAUGAAUGUCAUUGGUUCAUGAAGAACCCCACGGAUUGACCGAUUUCGAGUCAAAUCUGACCCUUAAUUUGUUUAUUCACUCGAUUCUUGGCCAUUGGAUGUGGUAUUGAGAGAUGCAAUUGUAAAAAUUGCAAAACUCCCACAUCGUUUGGAAGCUAGGGUCUUGAGAAAUUGGGGUUCUAUAAAUAGAACCCCCAAAUCACAUUGUUUGAUAGCUUACGACAUCGAAUAUCACUUGCAUAUUAAAAAAUCGAAAUACCUAGUGUUUCUAGCAAUUUUUUGCUUAAGACCUUUAAUUUUUCGAUUAAGUCAAAGUUUUAAAAUUUGUUCUUUGUUUUUUGUGUGUGCGUGGCUGAGUGUUGGAGUGGAGGAUUGAAGCUUUCAAGUCCAAAUCUCGUCCAAGGAUGCACUCACAAAAGGUAAACUUCUUCCCUUUAAGUAUUCUUUUCUAGUAUUUUAUUUGCAUUUUGUAUGUUAAGCUGUUAGUCUAGUUAUGGUGCUUAUUAGUUUGAAUUAGACUUGUGUAUGUUAAGUAUUAGUCUUGUUUAUUAUGUUUUUUUCUCAUUUUCUAAGUUUAGUCAUGUGCUUAUAUGUUAGCUUAGGUCUUAUUCAGUCAAGAUUCAGCAUGUUGAGUAAUUAGUUUAAUUAAUACUAUGCCUACUUUAGCUCUUGUUUAGUAUACUCUUAGUUUAAAUCCCGUUUAGCUGCAUCUUUCUAUUGUGUUUAAUGAUUCAAUCCCUAUUAUGUUGAGAAUAUAGUAUUAGUUGUAGUAUCUUUCCUGUUAGACUCUGUUUGUGCUUUUAAUCCAUUAGUAUAGACUGUGUUUGCAUGCUUAAUGAUCAGUAUUAGUGUAUCCAUUGUUGGUAACCAUUGUAGGUUGGAUUUGUGAUUGUUCAAGGGCUGUGAGCCAUCAUGUAUCUAGCAUAAGGUCUGUUUGCUAAUGGACCAGUUGGUUUUAUGAGAUAUGCCACAUUUCUGUCUAAUUUGAGUUUGAACUUGAAGUUUGUCAACUAUUAAUGACACAUGAUAUGGUAAACUGUAGCAUGAUCCUGUAUGCUUAAAUAUUAGUUUAAAGCAAGAUCUGAGUCAUCUAGAUUAGGUGUGAUAUCUUUUUAGGGUGUUUAUUAUGAAUAUUUGGGUAAAGAUGCUUAGAUUUGGUUAUGUGUUAGUAUGAUAAACCUGUUUCAAGCUUAGAUGUGGAGGUUGUUAACUUGAGAAUUUGGUGUAUAUGUAUGAACUAUGCUAAAUAUGGUAUAAUGAGCUAGUCCUCUGUAUUUGAACUUGGUAUCCCAUCUCUGUACUUGUUAAAUGUGUCCAUUUGUGGAUAUGAAUGUCCUUGUUGAAUGCUAUUGCUUUGUGUGAAUCUGUGUUGAGUCUCAAAUAGUUAUGAUGCUCUUUAUAAACUUGGUCAUCGACUUCCUAAAUAUAUCACAUAAGGAUUAUUACUAGACUUUACUUAUUGUCUGAACAUAAGUCAACCUGAGCUAUAGGCUUGUUAGUUUAACCACCAUGAGCCUUAUGCAAAGUCUUUGAAUCUGCGUUAAUUGCAUGACCAUUUUUGAAUCUUUGCAUGUUCUAACCAUGUAUUCAACGUGAACCUCUAAAUGUUUACUGUGAGAAGUGUUAUUUGCAUAAGAGUUCAGGAGGGCACCUCUCUGAAUCUUAUGUGAGCCCUGAGGCUUUUGUUGACUGCCUAAGUGUCAAAAAUGUUUAGUUGUAUGCUCUUAUGUUUCCUUCUACUGAAUCUGAACCUAUUCUUCAUUCUUGCAUAUAGUUUUUAUCCUUAAAGUGCCACAUGAACAUGCCAAAUGCAUAUUUUUCCUCCAGAUGUCUUGUUCAAACCUAAAACUUUGGUAUUUGUUAGUCUAUUAUUUGAAAUCAUGUCUCUUUGCUUUCGUGUGACCAUAUGAGAAUAGAUCAUCCUAAUAUGUAUCUAUAUGUGGGAAAAGAUUGAGAAUCUUGUCUUAUACUUGCGUGUCUACCUUUAAUUAACUCUGUUAACACUCAUGCCUAUAGUCAUUUGGCUUACAAAAUACUGAAUCUGUCUUUCUUCCCUUUGUAACUUGUUGAUACUUGGCUGGACUUGAUGUUUGUCUCACUAGAAUAAUUUAGAUACUUUAGGUAUAUAGUCAUGUUAAGUUUCAUUUAUGUGUCAUUGCAUCCUGUUAGUAUCUGAAUCUUGAAUAUUGUGUAUAUCACUUGUAUUCUGUCUUUUAAACUGCUUCUAUGUCCUUUCUAAAUGUGUCAUGACAUGAUAAGUAGAUAGAACUAGGUUUAUUGUAAGUUUACAUAGUUGUUUUGCUUGAAUACAAGCUGUGCAUACUGAAGGUAUACCAAAAUAUACUAAGUAUAUACAAAAGCUCUGUAUACCCUUGGUAUAUAUGAACUUGUAUAUCCAGUAUAUGCAUGGUAUAUCCUUUGCUAUAACCAGAAUUGUGGCCCGUAUGUUUAAAAGAAUAUAGUUUGGAUUGGUUUUCUUUGUUUUUGCUUUGUGUAUUGGGCCUCUUCUUUCUUUUGCUAUUUUCUGAUUUGCAUUUAGGUCUUCUGCCCUCACUGUUCUCUUAAGACUUGGCACUCUUUGAUUUCUUUGUCUUUAUAAGUUGGGUCGGGCCUUCUGUGUUAUGUUGAUUAAUUGAUUAAGUAUGUCUUUAUAUAGGUGUGUGCUGGUAAAUAUGAUUAAUUCAUACUUAAAUAAGCGUUUAAGUUCAAGAUACCUCCUAACCUCUUUUCCCCCUUCUUCCUCCUUCUUUGCUUGCAUGUGAACUACGCGGGCCAUUUGGGCCACAUCUUUGCCAAAAACAUAUAUUUGGGCCUGAGACUCAACUCUCUUCUUUGAAUUGAGUCCGGACUUAAAGGAAAGGGAAGCAAAUGUGAAAGGGAAGCUAAUAUAUUGGAGGCCCACCUGUGGGUGAAGAUAGGCAACUGGUGGGCUUAGGACUUCACAAUUAGAUUUGGUUGGAGCCAAAGAAACUGUUGCCAUUUGAUGUCUCUCAUCGGCAAGAGUGCAAGAUUCAUGUGUCAUGUUAAAAAUACAAAGACAAUGCCAACAUCAAUGAUAGAUUCAUGUGUAAGUUCACUUUGAUAUACACCGUUCUAAUGACGUCAACAUCAAACAAGUUCUCUUCAUCAAGCUAGGAAGAAUCUUCGUAAGCUAAUCGAUCUUCUUUUUCGAAUCCAUUCAUCAUCGUAAUCAACUUCACCAACUAGAACUGGAUUGAGCACCAGGUUGGAUCCACUUCUACCCCUCGUGGCUGAUAUUCGAGGAUUGCUGAUUCAAGUCUCUUCAGGGUGAGCAUGAGGACGUUCGCCGCCCGAAGACUCUUCCUAUUAUUUAUGUCUUGCUUUCCAUUAUGAGACAUGAUUUUGAGACCGCUUAUGUAUUAUUAUUCAGACUUGUAGUAUUUGGAUUUAGAUGCUUUUGUAUGACCAGACCAGAUACAGGGGUGAAUUUCAUUUACUUCCGCACGUAUUUAUAUUAUAUUUGUGAGACUUAUGCUA